rnacentral:lncRNA from 1 species
CUCUGCCCCGAGGAUUAGGUGGGCUAUAGUUUUACAAUCCAAAGGAAGUGGGGAGGGGAUAAAAACUGUCCUUUCUUUGAGUAGACAUCAGGCUUACAUCAUUAGCUCCUCCUUUGUAUCCAGUAAGUGAGUGUUUGAUCCUAUGAGAUCAAACUAGAACUUUCAUGGUGCAUAUUAAAUCAGUAGAAGGGAGGUAACAUAUGCUAAAAUACAUUGAAUCAUCUCAGGUUUCUGUAUAAUGAGGGUCUCCUACUUUGGAACGUCGUCUUUCCCUUAAAAUCCUGCCCUUGGUCCUAAGAGUUAUUGCCAUUCUGAACUUGAAUGCAGGUCUCAUUUUACCUUUCACUAAGUGACCUGAGGUAUACCUCGUUAAGAAAGCCUGCCUCCUUCUGAUGGCUUUCUUGAGUGAUUAUUAACUUACAGUGAAAUAAGAAACAGAGGACAUGGAGGGUCUUUUGCCCCUGGAGGCCACUACAGCAUCCUGAUCAUUUUCAGCACUAACCUACUUUACAACAGCUCCACUCUCAUAACCUAAUUAUCUCCCAAAGGUUUAGGAAUAAAAGGUUAGGUUCUCAACAUAUGAAUUUGGGGGUGGGGCACAAACAUUUAGUUAACAGGAACUCUUUUAAAUAUUUUUCAUGAACAACCUCUUUAUAUCUUUAUAACAAUCUUUAAAAGGAGGUGCUCUUGUUAUCCCCACUUUACAUGUGAGAAGUGGAAGCAGAGAAAGAUUGGGCAACUUGUGCAUAAUCAUAGACCUGAGAGCUAGAGUCAAUAUUUAAGCCUAAGGAGUGCGGCCCCACAGAAUCCGUGCUAUUAAACAUUAAAUACACUUCCUCUCCAAUGGAAGUGUGUCCAUGAUAUUCUGUAUGUAAAGAAAGCUGUGUUAAGAAUUUUGUUCAGAGAGUUCCCAUUGUGGUUCAGGGGGUUAAGAACCCAACUAGAAUCCAUGAGGAUGAGGGUUUGAUCCCUGGCGUCGCUCAGUGGAUUAAGGAUCCAGCAUUUCCACAAGCUGUGGCAUAGGUCACAGAUAUGGCUUGGAUUUUGCAUUGCUGUGGCUGAGGUUUAGGCCAGCAGGUGCAGCUCCAAUUCACUCCCCCAUGCCAAAACUGUGGCUCUAAAAAGAAAAAAAAUUUUGUUCUGGGUGUUAAGUUAGAGCUUUACAGUAUCAAAGUUUAUUUUCCCAGGAGACAAUUGGAAAUUUGGAUUUAAGGACUGGAAAAUAGAUGAACUUAAAGACAUAAUUGAAAUGAGCAUAUAGUAAAAGCCACUGGAUUGUACUUCCAGGAGAGAGUAUUUGGUCCAAAUUUUGAAGUCCCUAGUCUGGGAGUACUUUGAAUGGAUAAAGUGCUUUUUUUCAGAAGAAAGAGCAGGAAUGGCCACAGGAUCACUAGGCAACAGAGAGAGUGGAAUACAGAUAUCAGGAUAAAGUUUCUAGAAAGAGGGAGUGAGAGUGAACAAUGCCAAGUGCUACAGGGAAGUUAGGUAGGACUGAAAACAGGUGGUUGAAUUUAGCCAAUGGAAGGUUAUUAUUGAUUUGGGCGAAUGCAAUCUUUAUUGUCAGAUAGUAACGAUAGCCACCCUGUGAAAGGUUGAGAACAAAAGGUCACUGAUAAUUUCUGUUUGAAGGAGGUAAUUUAUAGAAGAAUGCCAUAGUCUGUUAAUGCCAGAUAUCAGACAGAACUUGGGGAACUGUUGUUAAAAGGGAAGGAAUAGAAGAGAUCAUGGCGCUACCAUUCUUCCAAAGGAGCAAGUGAGACCAGGAAUUGGGGUCGGUCAACCACAGUGCCUAUUACUUCUACUUUGACUCCAUCAGAGAGCCACUUAGCACUGACUCUAUAACACGCUUUCAUUCAUUAACUCAUCCAUUCUCAUUUAAUCAAUAGCCAUCAUUAAGUGCUUGCUAAGUGCUAUGUGGGCAGACUGUGUGUAUGUGCAGGUGUCAGUAAGUGUUCAGGGGGAUGGAGGAGGAAGUGGGUGUUACAAGGGAAGGCUGACAUGGGAAGUCUGCCAGGAAUAUAAUGUUGACCACAUUAAAAAGCCAGAGAGAGCAACAGCGCAUUGCCUGAACCAUGUGUCACGUCCAGUAGGACUAGAGUGUGUAAGAAUUGGUGGGAUUCAGCAUUAGUUUGGCAGAAGAUAGGAAAGCCUAAAUCAAGACUUGUUAAUAGGGGGCCAGCUUGAUCAGACUUUAUUUUUUGAAAAUUGAAACCUCGGGAGCUCACAUUGUGGUUCAACUGGUUUAGGACUUUACAUAGUCUCUGUUAGGAUGUGGGUUCUAUUCCUGGCCUCACUCAGUGGGUUAAGAAGUGAGGCAUAGUUAGGUUGCAGAUGCAGCUUAGAUCCCGUGUUAUGAUGGCUGUGGCUCCAAUUUGAUUCCUAAUAUGAGAACUUCCAUGUGCUGCAGGCGUGGCCAUAAAAAGAAAAAAAAAUUGAAACCUCUAUAUCCACAUUACUGUAUUUUAGGAUAAGUGCUAUCCAUAACUAAAAGCCCAUGUUACAUGUUUUUCUGUGAAAAUCUGCAUAACCUCAUAUUUAUGAAUGUGGGUGCAUAUUCCAUAUGAAAGUAAUUUUAUGAGCAAGUUUAUUGUUCUCAGGUUAAUAUUUCAAUGUUUUGUACACUUUAUGCUUUCUUAUUGGGAGCAACUAUCCAUUGUAUGUGAAGAUGACAUGGUUUCCCAAGAAAAGCUGCUGAUUGAGAUGGAAGGAAUAGCACAUUUCUCCUUGGAUUUUGAGCCAAUUCAGAUGAUGUAACUACCUGUGAAACAAAUGCGCUGCCAUGUAUUGGGGAAACAGUUUAAACUGCAGUGACCGCAGCUCUGUGAACCCUCUAGAGCAAUCACUUUUCAGGAAGGAGGGUGGAAAAAAUAUGGGAAAAGUUGUCAUAAAAAGGAAAAGCGGACUGAAUGGAAGUCAGAGAAAGGCUAGGGAUGGUGGAAGAGGGAGAGGGUGCCAAGAGGAAGUUCUGGAUGAGGAAGUGCAGGAUGAAACUGCUGUUUGCUCUGGUUGGCCUCAAGAUAACCUAUUUGGAUAAACAUGAAGUGCCUAUUUGGUUUCUAUUUUCCUAGUAAAUGGUAUGUGAAGGGUUAAUUUGUUGUAGAUUAAAACAUGAGACACCAAACAGCAUGUAUUAUUUUUCUUUUCCUCUGAUGCCCCUCACCCCUAAAGACAGAGAACUGGGCUGUUCAUCACCCCUUGGAGAAUUGGCACCAAACAACAGAAAACUAAUACAGAAUUUUCAGCUUUCAAUGUAAAAUGUGUAUGCAUUUUUGUGACUGAGACACUAGAAGGACCCCCGAGAAACUGGAGAGGGGAAGCUGACAUGUUCUUUAAUGGGGUUCUUCUUAGAAGCCACAUACCACAGCCCCCAGCCCCACUGGAAGAGUGGAAAGGUGUUUCAGGGUGUACCCCAAGCUUCAUGAGAACCUCUCCCAGAGCAUAGCAUGUACCACUGUGAUGUGGGAGACAGGUACCUGAUUUCCAGGCUGAUUGGUUUAUGGAUAGCUAAAAGGCAACAUUGGGAGCCAAGAUCAAUUGCACCAGAGGUGGAAUGAUGCAAGGGGAAGAUAUCUUGGGAUGACCCCACUCAAGAGUAUUUCCUACCAGGAAUGAGGGGAAUGCUUCAGAAAGAAUGGGAGUGGAUUUUCAAGUGAAGAUGAAGGUUCUUUACUUUGUAAGCUGCCCAGCAGGUAAAAGGAGGCAUUUCCAACUCCAUGAUACUGUAAUCAGAAGUUCCUAUUAAGGAGUUCUUGCUGUAGCUGAGUGGGUUAAGGACCCGACUAGUAUCCAUGAGGAUGUGGUUUUGAUCCCCGGCCUCACUCAGUAGGUUAAGGAUCCUGCAAGCAUAGGUCACAGAUGUGGCUUGGAUCUGGCAUUGUGGCUGUGGCGUAGGUGGGAAGCUGCAGUUCGGAUCUGACUCCUGGCCUGGGAACUUCCAUAUGCCACAGGUGCGGCUG